AGCCUCCCAAAGUGCUGGGAUUACAGGCGUGAGCCACCAUGCCCAGCCUAGAAACAGAAUCUUACAGGCUGGGUUGCACAUAGGCAGGUAUAGACAUAUAAGUCUAGAUUUACAAGUAGAUCACACUGACCUGAAACCACAUUUCCUGUAGUAUGCAGUUAGACUAAAAGAAAGUCACAUUUGUGUUUUCCACAUUGUGAUGUGAUGCACUCCUGGUCUUCAGUGAAUUCGCUUGCCACAAGGAAAUUCUGGCAUGUGUUGUAUGUGAAAUGUGAUGUGUACUCAAUUAUAAAAAUUGAGUUUCCUGAUUUCUAUGUCUUUAAAUUUGAUACACAUUUUGUAUUGAAUUUCUAUGUUAAUUGUUUUCAUAAAAUGAAAAGAAGUAAAAACCUCACCAACUGGUUUUGUGUAGAAGAGGUAAAUCUGUGACGUUUGCUUCUUCCCUUGUCCAGGAGGGUGAGGCUGUCACUACUACAGUUAGGACCGUUUCAUACUCCGUGCUCUUUUGCUAUGCUGGGGUUACUGUCUAACCCACAAGCCUCUGCCAGGAAUGUUGCCAUACACCCUGGAGUGGAAGACACCUGCGGAGCUCAUCUGUGGGGCUCAUGUUGGCUGAGGCUCUGAACUGCAGAAUUGCAGGCAUCCAAGGGAGUGCCCCAGGCACCCAGGUUUUCCUAAACCUUAGAUCAGAGCCAUUUGCAGCACAGAGUUGUGUGCUGUUUCAAAACCACAAACCCUGUAUAGAUGCCCCUCCAUUGCAGAGGUGGACAUCUUGGCAAAUGUAGGAUGAAGAUUGAAAAUUAAAAAACAAACACACCGUGUUCAGGGUGAAAAUUACAUACAUUGACAAUACUGUCUCUUUUCCUCCACAGUCUUACUGCCACCAAGCAGCCUCAGUCAGUUCGUGCUUAUUUCACUGAAAAUGUACUUAAUCUCAGAAAAGCUAAGCUAUCUAUAUGUAAGAACAUAAUUUGUUAGUCAGUUUUAUGAAAACAAAACUCCUCUCACCUUAAAAGAAAAUAUUUAACCUAAGAUAUAGUUGAAUAAAGUGCUAAUUUGAAAUACUGCCUCAUGAUUUGUAAUAUGCAUACAUAUGUAAUACUAUUUGUUUUUUGGGUGUACCUUAACAAGACAGGGAUGAGCAAACUAUAUGGUGUGUGCUGGAAAGAAAUUCAGUUUUAAAUGACCUUAAGGAAAUGGCUUGUUUGGUUAAGGAAAAUAAACUCAAUUGACAGUUAAGGUGAAAUGAACUUGUAAAAUUUGGUAUCAGUUACAACCCUUAUCGAUAAAAUGCUACCCGGAUCUUUAAAAUGCCAAGGUGUUCAAAGUUAUCAGAAAAAUUUUAAUUAGGGGGGUUGAAGUGUUUUUGUUGUUGUCGUUAUUGUUCUCCCUCGCACUGAACAGCAUAGAAGUAAUAGUUUUUGUCACUGCAGGCUUCUAUUGGGGGAUUUUCAUCUUGUUCCAGAAGGAAGUAGCAGGAAAGCAACUUGUAUAGUUAACAGCCUCAGUCCAAAGGGCAUUAUUUCCAGGCAGAAUUUCUAUAGUUACCCUUGUCUAGGAACACUGUUAAGGGAUAUGUUUUAAUUUUAGGUCAGAACAACUGGGUUAAGCAUUAUAUAAGAUUUGGAGAAAACACUGAUGAGGGAAGAUGGAGGAGAAAGGAAGCAACAUUAGUUUAUGCGGCCAAAGGACUACUCGAGGCACCAGUGAGGAAGGGCUUCUAAUGUGAGGAAAAACACGGAAUGACAAGUGUGGGAAAGAGCAAGCACUAAAUUACUGUCAGAAAAAUAAACGGAGUAGCACAGUGGUGCUCGGUGAUUUACGGGGGCAAUUAGUCACCACCCCACGGCGCUGCUGAGGACAGCAUGGCAGCAGACGAGUCAGGCCCACGAGGAAGAGAGGCUUUGCACUACUCUCCAGACAACUUUUCAAACAACAAGAGAGGAUAUUUGAGCACAUUAGGUUUUGUGUCUUCAUUCUGGGUGCCUACUCUUCAUAUUAUUCCACCAGCUGAAUACAUAAACAUAUUUUUAGCACAACAUGAACCUGUUCUGUGUGUGUUUAAAAGCCUCCAGCAACAACUUUUUUCUCUCCCACUGUCCAAAGUGGGUUUUUCCCCAUCCCUUAAAAGACAAAACAAAAAAGCCUUUCUUCACUCCCAAAUUGUCCCCCUGGUGUGUGCUUUUGGUCUGUCUCAUUACUUCUUGCAUCUUGCUACAUGUUCUGCAUUUGCUCAGAGCCACUGGGAGCUGAGGAAUUUGGUCUGCUGCUCCUCUGGGAAAGUUUGGUAAGCUGGUACAAGGAGGUGAUGAACAAGGCCAUAAACCAUAGGAUAAAUGAAAAUGGUACAUAAACUUCCCAAUAUUUGUGAACAUGUUCUUUAACGUACCAUACAUAGUUUCUGUGUGUAUGUAACAUAGCAAAACAAACUUGUUAAGGUAUAAUUAAUUGGUAUGCAUGCCUUCAUAAAUAUCCACCAUCAGAAGAAACCUAGAAUGAAAGGUUGUGAAAGAACCCAGGAAUGAUAAAGACUAUUGACUAAAGGCCAUGUCUAUAUAGGGAAAGUAGUGAAAGUAGUGAAGCUGCGGGUGAGCAAAUGAAGCUUCAUCAGGAGUUUAGUAUCCUUACGUAGCAUUACCUAAGAAUGCUGCCAUAGUAAAUUUCUGAAGCACUUUAUCUGUUACAAAGAGCAUUUGUAAUUUCCUUUUCUUAUUUGAUCUUGCCCUGGCUUUAGUCAGGAACACCUGCUCAGUUAGAAAUGUAUUCGGUGAGUAUGUACGCAGUUGGAGAAUGUGCCCCAGCACACGCUGCCUUUGGCCUGUAUGCUGGAGUCCUAAAGAGGCAGAGCAUGUUGAUGAGCGUGGUGCCAGCAUGGUGUGCCAUUCAUCCGGACACAUAAUUUCUGAUAAAGAGGGUCACAACUGGGAAAAACCUCAGAUUCUACUUGCUUUUCUUCUCCACGUUAUUAGACUCUUUUUCCCCUCUUGAAUUUUAUAAGCACACUCCUUUUAAAACAAUUAAUUAAUAACUAGCCCUGGGAUUUGAUGUAGAAUUGUGUAUUUGUAACUGCAAUGGCAGUGGUUUUAAACUACCCUGUAACAAAGAAGCAAUUCUAACCAGCAAAAGAAGCAGAUGUGUUUCUGUGCAACAUCACAGGCUUGUGAAAUUGUCCUGAUAUUGAGAUAUCAGGAGUGAUAUAAAUUGGAAAUUUAACCAAAAAUAUUUUCCAUCAGUGAACAAAGCCUAUUUUAAAGUGCUUCUUGCAUUUUUCAGAUCUUUCUCUUUCUUUCUCCCAAAGUCACAUUGUAGUUUCUGAUAAAGGAACACACUGAGAAAACUAAGUACAUAUUUAAACAAUGAAAUUUAAGGUGUAAAAAUUCUGCAUUUCUGACAAAUUUGAUGUUCACUUUUUUCUUGAUUUAAAUAGAGCAUUCUAAAAAUAUUACUCCUAUAGGGGACAAAUUUUUAUAUGCAUGUUAUUUUUGUUUACAAAGUGUGGGCUAGUGAAGAGUGAAAAAGACCUUGGCUAUUGUUCUUAUUUCUUGAUAGAAAUAAUAGCAUCUUAAUAUCUGGAUUCAAAUCUCUACUUAUCACACAACUUCCAUACAUUUCAAAGACAGGACUUGUAUUGAAUCAAAACAGAAAGCUGGGGCUUCCUACAUUUCCUUGUGUUUGUGUUCAUACAGAAUAUUUAUGCAAUAUUCUGACUUGGCCAUAAUCUAUAAUUCCUGGCUAUUAUUCUCAGUUGCAACUAUAAAUUCUAGAUUAAUGGUUAUAAUUUUGGUAAGGCAUACAUGAAAAGUUAUAUGUUCAUGCUUGAAAGGAGGAUCAUUAAAUAUUCAUUAUUACCACUCAAAUUAGUUGUCAUGCUCUGUAUAAUAGUUACCCGUUAUCAUUUCACUAGUUUGGAUUCAGCAAUAAGUGAACAACAAUAUAUAGAUCAUAGCACCAGAGGACUUUUUUUGUUGGGGAACAGGGAGAGAAAUGAUUUUAAAACCCAUUUGACAUAUUUAUGUUGACAAAUUAUUUAAAGGAAUUACUGUGUUGUAAUAAACAUGUUUGUAUGUUGCAA